rnacentral:lncRNA from 1 species
ACCCAUGGUUUUUCUUUCAUUUUACUUUUUCACAUUUAUUUAAUUUAAUUUUUAUUUUAUUUUAUCAUAUUUUGCAUGGAGACUAAGAUUUGAAUGGUUUGUAUUUUCAGGAUCACUUUCUUAACUUUUACAGGAUGUAGGAUUUUGAUGACAUGCACGUGGCCUAUAGAGAUAAUGCUCAGAGGGAGCGCUACAUCGCUCUGUAUA